rnacentral:rRNA from 1 species
UACGUAGGGUGCAAGCGUUGUCCGGAAUUAUUGGGCGUAAAGAGCUCGUAGGCGGUUUGUUGCGUCGGCUGUGAAAUCCCGAGGCUCAACCUCGGGUCUGCAGUCGAUACGAGCAAACUAGAGUGUUGCAGGGGAGACUGGAAUUCCUGGUGUAGCGGUGAAAUGCGCAGAUAUCAGGAGGAACACCUGUGGCGAAGGCGGCCACCUGGACGACAACUGACGCUGAGACGCGAAAGCGUGGGUAGCAAACAGG